GCAGGGCCUUCUGGACAAGCAUGGGAAA
rnacentral:piRNA from 1 species